rnacentral:rRNA from 1 species
UCGCUCCUACCGAUUGAGUGAUCCGGUGAAUUAUUUGGACCGUGGCGUUGGGUCACACCGACAGCCAUGGGAAGUUUUGUGAACCUUAUCACUUAGAGGAAGGAG